rnacentral:rRNA from 1 species
AGUUUGAUCCUGGCUCAGAAUGAACGUUGGCGGCGUGGAUUAGGCAUGCAAGUCGUACGCUCCGCAAGGGGCGUGGCGCAAGGGUGAGCAAGGCGACGGCAACCCACCCCAAGGUCGGGCAUAGCCGAGGGAAACCUCGGGUAAUUCCCGGCGACGUCGUCGAGCGGCAUCGCUCGACGACCAAAGGUGCGAUUCCGCCUUGGGACGGACCGUCGUGGUAUCAGGUGGUUGGCGGGGUAACGGCCCACCAAGCCUUAGACGCCUACCGGGCGUGCGAGCGCGGCCCGGCACACUGGGACUGAGACACUGCCCAGACUCCUACGGGAGGCUGCAGUCGAGAAUCUUCGGCAAUGGGCGCAAGCCUGACCGAGCGACGCCGCGUGGGGGAUGAAGGCCCUUGGGUUGUAAACCCCUGUCGAGGGGGAGCAAGGACGAUUGCAGAAAUCGUCUUGAGCGAUCCCUGGAGGAAGCACGGGCUAAGUUCGUGCCAGCAGCCGCGGUAAGACGAACCGUGCGAACGUUAUUCGGAAUCACUGGGCUUAAAGCGCGUGUAGGCGGGACGGCACGUCCGUCGUUGAAAGCCCCCGGCUCAACCGGGGAAUCGGCGCGGAUACGACCGUCCUCGAGGGGCGUAGGGGGACAGGGAACUUCCGGUGGAGCGGUGAAAUGCGUUGAGAUCGGAAGGAACACCCGUGGCGAAAGCGCUGUCCUGGACGCCUUGCUGACGCUGAGACGCGAAAGCUAGGGGAGCAAACGGGAUUAGAUACCCCGGUAGUCCUAGCCGUAAACCAUGGGCACUGGGUAGGGGGCUCGCCGAUGGGCUCCCUGCCGCAGCGAAAGCGUGAAGUGCCCCGCCUGGGGAGUAUGGUCGCAAGGCUGAAACUCAAAGGAAUUGACGGGGGCUCACACAAGCGGUGGAGCAUGUGGCUUAAUUCGAGGCUACGCGCAGAACCUUAUCCCAGGCUUGACAUGCACGGAUUAGCCGGCGGAAACGUCGGCGAGGCCGCAAGGUACAACGUGCACAGGUGCUGCAUGGCUGUCGUCAGCUCGUGUCGUGAGAUGUUGGGUUAAGUCCCGUAACGAGCGAAACCCUUGCCCUUAGUUGCCAGCGGGUAAAGCCGGGAACUCUAAGGGGACCGCCGGCGUUAAGCCGGAGGAAGGCGGGGAUGACGUCAAGUCCUCAUGGCCCUUAUGCCUGGGGCUGCACACGUGCUACAAUGGGCCGGACAAAGCGUCGCAAUGUCGCAAGGCGGAGCCAAUCGCAAAAACCGGUCCUCAGUUCGGAUCGCGGGCUGCAACCCGCCCGCGUGAAGCUGGAAUCGCUAGUAAUCGCGGAUCAGCACUGCCGCGGUGAAUGUGUUCCUGAGCCUUGUACACACCGCCCGUCAAGCCACCAAAGCGGGGGGCACCCGAAGUCGCCCAAGCCUCACGGCAGGCGCCGAAGGUGAAACCCGUGAUGGGGACUAAGUCGUAACAAGGUAACCAA